GCCAGGAGGUUCGCCGUUACUACCGGGC
rnacentral:sRNA from 1 species